rnacentral:rRNA from 1 species
CUGCUGACGACCGGCGCACGGGUGCGUAACGCGUAUACAAUCUGCCUUGCACUAAGGGAUAGCCCAGAGAAAUUUGGAUUAAUACCUUAUGGUUUAUUAAGAUGGCAUCAUUUUAAUAAUAAAGAUUACGGUGUAAGAUGAGUAUGCGUACCAUUAGUUUGUUGGUAAGGUAACGGCUUACCAAGACUACGAUGGUUAGGGGCCCUGAGAGGGGGAUCCCCCACACUGGUACUGAGACACGGACCAGACUCCUACGGGAGGCAGCAGUGAGGAAUAUUGGACAAUGGAGGAGACUCUGAUCCAGCCAUGCCGCGUGCAGGAAGACGGUCCUAUGGAUUGUAAACUGCUUUUAUACAGGAAGAAUAAGGACUACGUGUAGUCUGGUGACGGUACUGUAAGAAUAAGGACCGGCUAACUCCGUGCCAGCAGCCGCGGUAAUACGGAGGGUCCGAGCGUUAUCCGGAAUUAUUGGGUUUAAAGGGUCCGUAGGCGGGUCAUUAAGUCAGGGGUGAAAGUUUGCAGCUCAACUGUAGAAUUGCCUUUGAUACUGAUGGUCUUGAAUUAUUGUGAAGUGGUUAGAAUAUGUAGUGUAGCGGUGAAAUGCAUAGAUAUUACAUAGAAUACCGAUUGCGAAGGCAGAUCACUAACAAUAUAUUGACGCUGAUGGACGAAAGCGUGGGUAGCGAACAGGAUUAGAUACCCUGGUAGUCCACGCCGUAAACGAUGGAUACUAGCUGUGUGGUUUUCGGACUGCGCGGCCAAGCGAAAGUGAUAAGUAUCCCACCUGGGGAGUACGUUCGCAAGAAUGAAACUCAAAGGAAUUGACGGGGGCCCGCACAAGCGGUGGAGCAUGUGGUUUAAUUCGAUGAUACGCGAGGAACCUUACCA